UACAUUAUGGGCCGGAUUGGCCCGGCCCAAUGAAUACCAAAACUGUUCCCUGUCGUCAUCUUUCCAUCUCGAUCAACGCGUACAAAGACGAGGAGCGAUAAAUUUGCGUCGACUCCGUCUCUCCCACGAAAUCCUCCCCAUUCCACGCGCGGAAGAAUUCCCGGUGCGUUCUAAACCGAUCAAAGAAGGCGACGCAUUGAUUUGCUGAUUUUCCGGCGAUUGGUUCUCUCCGUUGGGGCCAGGUGCUUCGAUGAUUCUUUUUUGUUUUGGUUCGUGUUUUGUCAUCCUGUCCUGCAAAGGAUUUAGGGUUUUUCUUGCGUUUAUUUACUCUGUGCUGCUUAAGCGCACGGAAUCCAGUCGGAUUUGAUAUUAAUCCGCGAAAUUUGGAAGAUAAUCUCAGCUUUAUCCGUUUGGUUGUUUCAGGAAAAGGAAAAACAGAUGUUUUUGCUCGUUUUUAGCUCGGAGGAAGAUUUUCGCAUCGUUUUCUACUCUGUUCUUCUAAAAAUUGUGUUUUUUUGGUUGCUACGAAACCUUUAUUUUACGUAUCAUGAGGGAGCAAAGAAAAACCCUCUCUAGUACAGAUUUUAUGAGCCAAUAUAUGUUAUAAGAUAUUUGAUGCCAUGAAAAGUUUCUAAUUUAUUUCCAAGCAGGAUCCUUUCUUGAUUUUUUUAUGAAUCUUUUGAAUUGCUUUGUACACUUAGUUAUUAAUCCUAAAACCCUAAUAACAGUUCUUAAUAAAUAGAGAUUAGUAGUGCUAAAAUCUAAAUAAGAACUAUUAUAUGAAAACAGUGAUUAACAAUCUACUGUUAAUAGUAGUUAAAGGAGAGAAAAGAUACCGACAGUGAAAAGUGGGAAAGGAGAGGAUGGAGGUGAUGGAGGAACUUUUGAAUGAUGGUGAUGCCAGCGACGAAGGAAGCUAUGGACGACGGCAGUGGAAGCUGCUGACGGUGAUGUCAUCGGCAGAGGAAGCUAUGGUCCUCUCCCUCGACGAUGGAAGGAGUUGCACAUGAAAGCAGCGGCUGUGGAGGGAAUUGCACAUGAAAGCUAGGCCUUCGGAUCCGUCCUUUGGCGACAGAGGAAGCGUCGGUCCUGUGCAGCGGUAGAGGAGGUGGCGGCUAUGCACGAAGUAGGGUUUAUGGCUCAAGGUUGUGUGGGGGAGUGGGACAGGGGGGCGACGGAUGGGGGCUUGCGUGCGUAAGUUUAGUAACAUUACGUAGCUUAGUUUAAUCGAACCAAGUAAUUUACUGUUCAACCAAACUAGACUUAAUAUUCUAAUUCGGUUACUUUGUUUCAACCGGGCGCUUGCCUGAGGUGUCUGGUGCCUGGGCUCAAGCGAGUGCCCAGGUGGCGCUUCAUUGAAGCGUGCUGCCUGAUCGAGGCUUGAGGCGCUCGGGCCUCACCUCACUCGAGCGCUCGGGCGCCUAUUUAAACCCUUGGAUAGAGCUGCAACAACAUUUCUAAUGACAAUGAAUUAGGACCUUCAAUUGAUGGUGAAUUUCUAAGACCAAAGGCUCGAGUGAUGUAAACUUUCUUUCUGCUCACUAGGGUAAGAUGAUCUUCUUGAGAACCUAAAUUGGCAGGAGCUCUGUGCACUGAACCACACUUUUAGAAGAUGAGCUUUAGUAUCAUGAUAAGGUUGUUUCUUUGCAAUUUAGAUUUAUAUUGAUCCUCCACAGUCCCUGUAUUAGCCGGAGCCUUACGUAUUGGGUUGCACAUUUCAUUUUUUUAUGCACUUAAGCUUCAUCUGACAUGGUUAUGGAUCCUUCGUGAUUGCCCAUGAUGGACCAUGAUCAUAAGGGACUCCCUUUAAUUUGCUGAUACCAUAUUAUCAGGUUAUAGAUAUGAAGGUGGGCUUAAUAUGCAGAUAUAUUUAGUUAGUGUUCCCUUUUAGAUUAUUUGCAGAUGGGCUCAUCUUCUUGGUAGAGUAAUUGCAAUAUGAGAUUAAUUUGAAUAUGACAGUUAUGCUGUGUGCUUUUCUUUUAUACUCUAGUUAAAGUAACUUUUUUUACCUGUUCUGUAAAACUAGGGCUAUGGUUUUUGUAAUUUGUUUUUCUAUAUUGUCAUUUUACCAUCAUGCAGGAUAAAGGUGUCUAAUGGACAGUACAAUUUUAUCUUUUCCAAGGACUAACAGAUUUGUUGGCACUCGUAUCAUUGACCAUUCCCUGGGACUUUGUGCUCUUAAUUUAUCAAGAUAUAACAUAUGCUAUUUGCCUAAAGGUACUUGUACCUCCUGUUUUUAUGAAUUCUCAGUUUCUAUCAGUAGGAAAGUUUUUUGCU
rnacentral:lncRNA from 1 species